rnacentral:rRNA from 1 species
GACGAACCGUGCGAACGUUAUUCGGAAUCACUGGGCUUAAAGGGCGCGUAGGCGGGCCGACGAGCCAGGGGUGAAAUCCUCCAGCCCAACUGGAGAACAGCCCCUGGGACCGGCGGCCUCGAGGGGUGCAGGGGCAUGCGGAGCUCAGGGUGGGGCGGUGAAAUGCGUAGAGAUCCUGAGGAACACCGGUGGCGAAAGCGGCGUGCUGGACACCUACUGACGCUGAGGCGCGAAAGCCAGGGGAGCGAACGGG